rnacentral:rRNA from 1 species
CCUACGGGAGGCAGCAGUGAGGAAUAUUGGUCAAUGGACGAGAGUCUGAACCAGCCAAGUAGCGUGAAGGAUGACUGCCCUAUGGGUUGUAAACUUCUUUUAUAUGGGAAUAAAAUGUUCCACGUGUGGGAUUUUGUAUGUACCAUAUGAAUAAGGAUCGGCUAACUCCGUGCCAGCAGCCGCGGUAAUACGGAGGAUCCGAGCGUUAUCCGGAUUUAUUGGGUUUAAAGGGCGCGUAGGUGGAUUGUUAAGUCAGUUGUGAAAGUUUGCGGCUCAACCGUAAAAUUGCAGUUGAAACUGGCAGUCUUGAGUACAGUAGAGGUGGGCGGAAUUCGUGGUGUAGCGGUGAAAUGCUUAGAUAUCACGAAGAACUCCGAUUGCGAAGGCAGUUCACUGGACUGCAACCGACACUGAGGCUCGAAAGUGUGGGUAUCAAACAGGAUUAGAUACCCUUGUAGUC